rnacentral:misc_RNA from 1 species
AUUUAAAAAUAAUAAUAAUAAUAGAAUUGGGAGACCAAAGCAGCUCUUUUCUGAGCUCAGAAACAUGAAAAAGAAGGCUAUCAGUCUCUUCAAACUAACAAAAGAAGGAUAACCUCAAUCAACUAUUAGCCACUAACAUAAGACGGGAAUUCCUUUGUAUGCCCAUAUAUAAACACUGAUAGAACUUGUUUUAAAGCAUGUGAUAAGCUUAAAAAGUGCAACCCAUACAGCAAAAUUUCGUUCUAACUAAUGGCUGAUAAGCAAAAUUCCCAGAUGUCGAUUGGCGCGACGUUACCGUCAAAAAACUCCCAAAGAAUGUGAGUGAAGUUCAUUUAAGUGCCAGAAAAUGUAUCUGUUUGGAUGAAAGAUGAACUAUGUAGAUACCAUUGGUUCAAUUCAAGUCCUACCACCUUUAUCAACGCAUACGAACAGGAAAAAGAAAAAAGAUUCACUGAAAGUAAGCUGCUAACUAGUGCUACCGCCUAACUAUAGCAGAAAAACAUUAACGAAAGAAAGAAUAAUGA